CAGAAGUGUGACAAAGAGGCACUCAAGUGACUUUCUGUUGCCAUGACAGGAGCAAUUAUCAGAUCCUUGGGAAUGAAGGUAAGGAAGGUGCUCGAAUAAAGUUGUGAACAAAACAGAGAAAAAUGUCUGACCCUGUGGGACAUAUGUUCUAGUGAGGAAGCCGACAAACAAGGAAAGAAAGCAUCAGCUUUCUAUUUGCAGCACAAGAAAACACCACUGGGAUGAAGCCUCAAAAACACAUUUGGGUGACGGCAGAUCACGAGACACUUGGAGUCAAGAUAUCAGGUUUCAAUCAAAAAUAUAUAGACUGGAUAUGAAUAAACUCCCCUGAAAUCUCACUCUCUUCCACUGACUGGGGUUUCAGAUGGGGAGAUCAGUAACACUUGCAGAUGACUCCGGAGAAACAAGGAUCCCAUCUGCAGACAGAUGAAAAAGAGGAGGAAAUUUUUCUUGGGUGCUUUGCUUGAGACAUGUUAGAAACAAAAUAGUCUAUCACAUCUUUCUAAAAGCAUCGGCUGGUAGUCUUUUGCCAACAAUUCAAUUGGUUUAGAAUGCUAAGCUUGGAGAAUUGCAUCAUCUGUCUUAGAGGUCUGCAGGCUCACUCCUGCCUAACCACUGGGAAAUGAAGACAUGAAAAGUCAAUGACAUCCUAGCAUCGGCAUCUGUUUUGUCUUUGUGCUCACAUGCAAAGACAGCACAAUGAGGGAAAUUAUAAAUGGCAGCAUGUUUUCAACCCUAUCUCAAUCAGAUGUCUGCCACUGUCCUUUCCAAAUCUACUCUCCACCCUGCUUCAUGCAACAGAACCAACUGUGCUUGGUUAAUGGAACACUCUGGCAGGAGACUGGAGGAGGGAGGAGAGUGAGGUCUGGGUAUGGAUUCCCCAGCUCCCUCCUUGUCUGAUUGCAAAGACUGCUUCUCUCCACCAAAGGCUCCUGUCAAACGCCUUCUCCAUGUAGCCACUCCUUCUAGAUUCUUGUAACCACUUGUCCCUUCAGGCCUAAGAGUGAUAAAGGUUAACAAUAGUCCCUGUAUUAAGCACCCUUAAAAUUACUAGUUUGAAUCUACCAGCUGCUUCCUGCUCAUCCCUGACUGAAAUGUGGGCUAACAGUGAUACAUUACUGGUGACCGCCACGGAUAAUGUUGUAUUGAAGAUUCGAAGACUGGCAUACAGAUCACAAUAACAAAUGCUAUGAUUCUUUUUUUUUUUUUUUUUUUUUUUUUUUGAGACAGUGUCUUGCUCUGUCACCCAGGCUGGAAUGCAGUGGUGCGAUAUCGGCUCACUGCAACCUCCACCUCCCAGGUUCAAGCAAUUCUCCUGCCUCAGCCUCCCCAGAAGCUGAGAUUAUAGGCGUGAGCCCCACAGCCAGCUAAUUUUUGUAUUUUUAGUAGAGAUGGGGUUUCACUAUGUUGGCCAGGCCGGUCUUGAACUCCUGACCUCAGGUGAUCUGCCUGCCUCAGCCUCCCAAAGUGCUGCUAUGAUUCUUUGUUGUUGACCUUGGGCAUGGGAGGAAGAGAAAAAUGGCAAAACUCCCAUAUAUUUCCUAUUCCUGCCACAGACCUUUAUUGCAGUAGAUAAAGAUUGGGCCAUAAGGAACUUCAAUCUAGGAUCAAGUAUUUGCUCUUAUAAUUUAGUUGAGGCUUAUUGAUGAUUUUCAUUUACAUGUUUAAGAUACCCAAAUGUUAAUAUGAA
rnacentral:lncRNA from 1 species